CCAGACUCCUACGGGAGGCAGCAGUGAGGAAUAUUGGUCAAUGGCCGAGAGGCUGAACCAGCCAAGUCGCGUGAGGGAUGACGGCCCUACGGGUUGUAAACCUCUUUUGUCGGGGAGCAAAGAGAGUCACGUGUGGCUCAUUGAGAGUACCCGAAGAAAAAGCAUCGGCUAACUCCGUGCCAGCAGCCGCGGUAAUACGGAGGAUGCGAGCGUUAUCCGGAUUUAUUGGGUUUAAAGGGUGCGUAGGCGGGAUGCCAAGUCAGCGGUAAAAAUGCGGUGCUCAACGCCGUCGAGCCGUUGAAACUGGCGUUCUUGAGUGGGCGAGAAGUAUGCGGAAUGCGUGGUGUAGCGGUGAAAUGCAUAGAUAUCACGCAGAACUCCGAUUGCGAAGGCAGCAUACCGGCGCCCUACUGACGCUGAGGCACGAAAGCGUGGGUAUCGAACAGGAUUAGAUACCCGUGUA
rnacentral:rRNA from 1 species